AUGCUGGCUUUGGCAGCACCUAUACAAAAAAUUGGAACAACACAGAGCAGAUUAGCAUGGCCCUUUAACAA
rnacentral:snRNA from 10 species